rnacentral:rRNA from 1 species
UACGGAGGGGGCUAGCGUUGUUCGGAAUUACUGGGCGUAAAGCGCACGUAGGCGGUUUUGUAAGUUAGAGGUGAAAGCCUGGGGCUCAACUCCAGAAUAGCCUUUAAGACUGCAUCACUUGAACACGGGAGAGGUGAGUGGGAUUCCGAGUGUAGAGGUGAAAUUCGUAGAUAUUCGGAAGAACACCAGUGGCGAAGGCGGCUCACUGGACCGUUGUUGACGCUGAGGUGCGAAAGCGUGGGGAGCAAACAGG